GUAUAUAACUAUACAUUACGUUGUGUUCUUAUUUUGGGUACAAGGAUUGCCACACGUAGGAAGGUGACUCAAAAUAAGCGCGCGGGGAUGCGUUGGUGCAAUCGCUAUACCUAACAUCUUUUCCGAAACAAAUGGGCACAAAGUGCAUAGGGUGUGGGCAUCUCCGACAAAGAGUAUCGAGGCGAUACGAAGCGCAGCGGCAGGACGACUGGGUACGAGCAGUGUGUAAGGCGUUGGAGAGAGAUAAGUACGAGGAUUUCUUCAUCAAACAGGGGAUUGCAUAAGGAUUCGGUAAAGGAUUGACUAGUUGUGCUGUCGCUAAUGGAAACCGAUAUAAUCAAGAUGACACAUAAACAAAGGCAUUUUUAGGUUAAGAAAACGCAGGAAGCAAUAAAAAAUCGUUUUAUAUUCCGAA
rnacentral:lncRNA from 1 species